GGGGCCUGGCACACUUGGGGCUGCUUUGGGGCCCAGGCUGGAGGAGGACCAGGCUCAGCUGGGGCUGCUUUGGGGCCUAGUCCGGAGGGAGGCCCGGCACAGCCAGAGCCUUGUGGCAGCAGUCCAACUCUCAAGUUCAACCUUUAACCAUAACCUAAAACGGUAACCGUAGUGAAAGGUAGUGGCAGAUAGAGCUGCUUUACUGUGUUUUAAUUUUCCCAAGAAUAGUGAAGGACUCAAGCUAGUAAAGAAAGACCCCUUUCUGAAGAGCAGGACUCAGAAGGUAUUACCAGAGAGCAGAUCUCCCAGUAGAGAUUCUUCCCCUUAGACAGCCAGCCCUUAAAUGAGGUUAGGGAGGGCUGGGACCAGGCUCCACCCCUUUUCUGCACAGGUGAAACGCUUCCAGCUGUGCUCCGCAGCAGACCAUGUUUUAACAAAGGUGAAAGCCUGUGAAACAAAAGAAUCCCUUCUUACUUGUUUCACGUUUGUGUUUGUUGACCGCAGUUCCAACCAGGUGGACUCUCAAUGUCUUGCAAGCGACACCUAGAAGCAGGUACAGGCAGGAGGCACAGCACCCUGCAACCUCCAGGGGCCUUUGUGCAAAUGUUCAUGUCCUAGAAGCACGUGGCGGAGCACGUCCUGGGAUCAAGGUGCCAUGGACUGGAAAAUGCAGCUCUGGACAUACAGGCUUGGCGGAGUUCCUGUGUGAAGACAAAACUCCCAGUACUCCAGAAACGUGGAGGCAGAAGAGCAGUGACAAGG